rnacentral:rRNA from 1 species
UACAGAGGGUGCAAGCGUUAAUCGGAUUUACUGGGCGUAAGCGCGCGUAGGCGGCUAAUUAAGUCAAAUGUGAAAUCCCCGAGCUUAACUUGGGAAUUGCAUUCGAUACUGGUUAGCUAGAGUGUGGGAGAGGAUGGUAGAAUUCCAGGUGUAGCGGUGAAAUGCGUAGAGAUCUGGAGAUACCGAUGGCGAAGGCAGCCAUCGUGGCCUAACACU